GGAAACUACUAGGGGCGCCAUGUUGCUGAGAUAAGGAACGCUUCCUUUGUCCCUUUGAACCUGAUCUGGCUAAUACCAGCGCAGGAAAGUAGUGAGGAAAUUAU
rfam:Virgibacillus massiliensis genome assembly, contig: 000002